CAGGCUUAACACAUGCAAGUCGAGGGGCAGCAUGGUCUUAUCUUGCUAAGGCCGAUGGCGACCGGCGCACGGGUGAGUAACACGUAUCCAACCUGCCGUCUACUCUUGGACAGCCUUCUGAAAGGAAGAUUAAUACAAGAUGGCAUCAUGAGUCCGCAUGUUCACAUGAUUAAAGGUAUUCCGGUAGACGAUGGGGAUGCGUUCCAUUAGAUAGUAGGCGGGGUAACGGCCCACCUAGUCUUCGAUGGAUAGGGGUUCUGAGAGGAAGGUCCCCCACAUUGGAACUGAGACACGGUCCAAACUCCUACGGGAGGCAGCAGUGAGGAAUAUUGGUCAAUGGGCGAGAGCCUGAACCAGCCAAGUAGCGUGAAGGAUGACUGCCCUAUGGGUUGUAAACUUCUUUUAUAAAGGAAUAAAGUCGGGUAUGGAUACCCGUUUGCAUGUACUUUAUGAAUAAGGAUCGGCUAACUCCGUGCCAGCAGCCGCGGUAAUACGGAGGAUCCGAGCGUUAUCCGGAUUUAUUGGGUUUAAAGGGAGCGUAGAUGGAUGUUUAAGUCAGUUGUGAAAGUUUGCGGCUCAACCGUAAAAUUGCAGUUGAUACUGGAUAUCUUGAGUGCAGUUGAGGCAGGCGGAAUUCGUGGUGUAGCGGUGAAAUGCUUAGAUAUCACGAAGAACUCCGAUUGCGAAGGCAGCCUGCUAAGCUGCAACUGACAUUGAGGCUCGAAAGUGUGGGUAUCAAACAGGAUUAGAUACCCUGGUAGUCCACACGGUAAACGAUGAAUACUCGCUGUUUGCGAUAUACAGCAAGCGGCCAAGCGAAAGCGUUAAGUAUUCCACCUGGGGAGUACGCCGGCAACGGUGAAACUCAAAGGAAUUGACGGGGGCCCGCACAAGCGGAGGAACAUGUGGUUUAAUUCGAUGAUACGCGAGGAACCUUACCCGGGCUUAAAUUGCAGAUGAAUUACGGUGAAAGCCGUAAGCCGCAAGGCAUCUGUGAAGGUGCUGCAUGGUUGUCGUCAGCUCGUGCCGUGAGGUGUCGGCUUAAGUGCCAUAACGAGCGCAACCCUUGUUGUCAGUUACUAACAGGUUCCGCUGAGGACUCUGACAAGACUGCCAUCGUAAGAUGUGAGGAAGGUGGGGAUGACGUCAAAUCAGCACGGCCCUUACGUCCGGGGCUACACACGUGUUACAAUGGGGGGUACAGAGGGCCGCUACCACGCGAGUGGAUGCCAAUCCCAAAAACCUCUCUCAGUUCGGACUGGAGUCUGCAACCCGACUCCACGAAGCUGGAUUCGCUAGUAAUCGCGCAUCAGCCACGGCGCGGUGAAUACGUUCCCGGGCCUUGUACACACCGCCCGUCAAGCCAUGGGAGCCGGGGGUACCUGAAGUGCGUAACCGCGAGGAGCGCCCUAGGGUAAAACUGGUGACUGGGGCUA
rnacentral:rRNA from 1 species